rnacentral:rRNA from 1 species
AUACGUAGGGUGCGAGCGUUGUCCGGAAUUAUUGGGCGUAAAGAGCUCGUAGGCGGCUUGUCGCGUCGGAUGUGAAAGCCCGGGGCUUAACUCCGGGUCUGCAUUCGAUACGGGCAGGCUAGAGUUCGGUAGGGGAGAUCGGAAUUCCUGGUGUAGCGGUGAAAUGCGCAGAUAUCAGGAGGAACACCGGUGGCGAAGGCGGAUCUCUGGGCCGAUACUGACGCUGAGGAGCGAAAGCGUGGGGAGCGAACA